AAAUAAGUAAUGUAUGCAUGAAACAGUCACGACUAUCCAUUGUUCUUAUAAAAGGAUAAAACAAAAAAACUAUUCCAGGACUCAAAAUGAGCAUCUACACUUGUAACAAGACCCCGUGAUCUUUUUUCGAUUCCAGAUGAUCUCUCUGUCUCUCUCCCUCCUCCUUGAUUCUAAACAGCACCAGUACUCUGCUGAAAAUAUAAGCUAAAUGCACAUAUUUUAUUAGCCCCUACCAAAAAAGGUAGGAGUGAGAGCAUUUAACUAACCCAUUUUACUACUUUACCAAGUCUACCUGAACAUGUCACUAUAUUUACCUUAAGCUGGAUACGCCUACAACUUCAAGGACCUGUCCCAGCUCUCAUUAACAUUAUUUCAGUUCACAAAUGAGAAAAGAAAUCAUAACAGACUCAAAAUUUCUCCAUAUCAUAUACUGAGGUACACUUAGUUAAGCACACAAUUUAAGAUCUUUACUUUCACCAUAUCAGUUUAUAAUGUUAACCCCAUAAAUAUUAUCUUAUUCUAACGUACAACACACAGAGAUUAAAAAAAAAUACUUUUAGAAAAAGAAGAAAAGAAGGAUACAGCAAAGCUAAAUCCACUUACAUUUUCAUUGUCACAGGCAAUCA
rnacentral:misc_RNA from 1 species